CAUCUUUCCGAAUUUCAAAUUAAAAAAAAAAUAAUGUUUAGUACUUUCUGGUUACGAUAACUAGGGUUGGUUAUAGAAUAGGGCAAAGUGCAAACCCCGGGUGCGGCGGCUCCACUCGCUAUAUAUUCUCAAGUCCUAACGCUCCCAACCCAAACCCUAGCCAGAGCGGCUGCAAUAGAAUUCACGAUAGCUCUGGAUCAACAUUGCUCACCUGCCAAGAGCGAUUGGUGUAUAGGAAUGUGUUUAAGACGCACCCUGUAUCGUAGGCCCCUCCGAUAACGUGGAGAGGCCUUUGAGCUAUUGUGCGUAAAGUGAGAGCUGAUUCGUCAGCAGGCAGCCAGACAACUGCCGUGGUGGAUCCACAGAUGAACGGAUCUUUGUUAAUGCUGUUUGUCUACUAAUUCCACCACACAUCUCAA